GGACCUGAGGUGACGGAUUGUCUAAUUAAAACAGAUUCCUGUUGCUAGACGUAUCAAAUGAACGUGAUAUGAUUUCUAAUCAUGCAUCUGAAUAUCAAACUGAAGAAUUUCAACCAAGCACACACGGUCAGCAGGAAUAUAUAUCAUUCGAGUAAACAAGAAUACUGUCUCGUCAUUUAAAUUUGUAACACGCAUCAAUGGAUCAACAAGAUUCCA
rnacentral:rRNA from 1 species